UUGUUGGGGCGCCUGGGUGGCGCAGUCGGCUAAGCGUCCGAUCUCGCGGUCCGGGAGUUCGAGCCCCGCAUCGGGCUCUGGGCUGAUGGCUCAGAGCCUGGAGCCUGUUUCCGAUUCUGUGUCUCCCUCUCUCUCUGCCCCUCCCCUGUUCAUGCUCUGUCUCUCUCUGUCCCAAAUAAAUAAAUAAACGUUGAAAAAAAAUUAAAAAAAAAAAAAAAAAGAAAGUCAAGGUUUUGAGGAAGAGGAUGGAACAUUGAGUUGAGACCUGACUGACUCAGGAUCUUUUUUUCCUUCUUAGGUGAACACAUUCUUUUGAUCACAUCUCCCGAACAAGCAUGAGACUUUCCAGGUGACAUUUCUCUUCUUGGCCCAGAAUACAGAGUAUGGUGCUACUAACCAGAGCCCCUGGACUGAGGAAAGCAUUCUCCUGCACAGAGCCCAAGGAGACCAAGAGGGGCAACAGAGGAGGAACUGUACUUUGUGUCUUUGAAAGAACUCCCAUCCAACUGGAGUAAUUCAUCAAGGAUUUUUGAUGGCAGCUCUGAGAGUUUCCGAAGUUACUGUAGAAAUCCUGUCGCUCCUUUUAAUGUAAGUGUCUUUGCUUUCCUUCAGAGUAAAAUUGAUGACAUGUGUCCUUCUUUGCAUCUUGGCUUUCUUAUUUAUGAUUAAGGAGGCUUAUGGCAGAAUCAACAGCGCUGGAAUCAUUUGAUAAUUUACAUAAACACUCUCUCUGAUCGUUAUCGGCAUUCUCGCUACACCUGGAUGGGGACCCUCCUUAGGUUUUCUUCCAUAUUUGGAAAAACAUAAGCUGAUUUAGGUGACCACUAGGGAGAGUGGACUAGGAUGAACAUUGUCUUGAAAUUGUCGUGCGAGAAAUGUCAAAGCUUCGGAGCGCCUGAGUGGCUCAGUCGGUUAAGCGUCCGACUUUGGCUCAGGUCAUGAUCUCAUAGUUUGUGGGUUUGAGCCCCGCUCAGGCUCUGUGCUGAUAGCUCAGAGCCCGGGACCUACUUGGAUUCUGUGUUUCCCUCUCUCUCUGCCCCUCCCCUACUUGCGCUCUGUCUCUUUGUCUCUCUCAAAAAUAAGUAAACAU
rnacentral:lncRNA from 1 species